AGUGAACGCUGGCGGCAGGCCUAAUACAUGCAAGUCGAACGGCAGCACAGGGGGAGCUUGCUCCCUGGGUGGCGAGUGGCGGACGGGUGAGGAAUACAUGGGAAUCUGCCCGAGUCGUGGGGGAUAACGUAUGGAAACGUACGCUAAUACCGCAUGCGCCCUGCGGGGGAAAGCCGGGGACCUUCGGGCCUGGCGCGAUUGGAUGAGCCCAUGUGCGAUUAGCUAGUUGGCGGGGUAAAGGCCCACCAAGGCGACGAUCGCUAGCUGGUCUGAGAGGAUGAUCAGCCACACUGGGACUGAGACACGGCCCAGACUCCUACGGGAGGCAGCGAGUAGGGAAUAUUGGACAAUGGGGGCAACCCUGAUCCAGCCAUGCCGCGUGAGUGAAGAAGGCCCUCGGGUUGUAAAGCUCUUUUGUCCGGAAAGAAAGCAAUCGGUGAAUACCCGGUUGUUCUGACGGUACCGGAAGAAUAAGCACCGGCUAAC
rnacentral:rRNA from 1 species